GUUGAUCGGAAUGUUGUCUGGUCCAAGUUCACAUAUGGAUGAUAAGGACUCAAAUUAUUUGAGUUAAUUUAGGGUUUCCAUCUUUCGGAUCCUUUUAUGUGACCUCGGACCAGGCUUCAUUACGGUCAAC